CGGUGAACCUGGGGUUCGUGUGAGGGCACUGGGUGUAGAAUAGAUGCUCAGUCAAAGGUGGCUACAUUGUGUCAUUGCCAUAAGGGUCGUGAUUGUCCCACCACUCAUUAUCCUAGUCUGAUUUUAGCUUCUGCUCUCUGGUGAAUCUUGAGUUCUGUAGCCUUGCUCCAAGCUCUGGGAUUUCAGCUAUAAUUAGUCUUAUACACAGUGCCAUGCCUGGAACUUCCAGGCUAGGAGAAGAGACUGGACUUAACAAUUGAUCAACCCCAUAGGACACGAAUGGGGCAAGCUCUGUGGGUGCAGAGGUGGCCUAUGGGGUCUCACCCAGACCAGCGAGAGAGGUUCCACCAGGAGCCUUCAGCCUGGUAAACAGCAGGGCAGGGCUGUGACUCCGAUCUUGCUCUGCCUGGCUCUGAAGACGCCGUGUUCUUUGGUAGCUAUGCAGUGAGGUCACCAUGCUCUAGGAACCAACAUUUGUCCUAUUUGGUGUCACCUCAGUCGUUUGGGUUCAGUCCUCAAAAUAGGACACAAGCAUCCACCGACGGGGUGAAGAGAGGAGAACCUGGUUCUGGGAAGAGGACUGCGGUGAGAUGGAUUGGACUGGGGAGAUGCUAGAGAUGGGGACCUGUUGGGGUUACUGUGUUGUCCAGGUGGCUCCAGGAAAAUCAGAUGCAGCUGGGCUGGUUGACAUCACUGUUACCUCCCUCAUCCUUCCCAUACCCAAAGAAAGUCCUGGUGUAUUUUCCUCUCACUGGCAUGGGAACUGAGGCACAGGGAGGUGAGUGGCUUGCCUAGACUCAUACAGUUUGAGCCCAGGCUGGCAUCUAUGCAGAGUCGCAGUCCUGUGGUCUCACAAAGCCAAGACCUGG
rnacentral:lncRNA from 1 species